ensembl:lncRNA
UUCUAAAGGCCUGAACAUCUUAAAGGUUUUGUCCAAAACUAAAUGGGGAGCAGAUAUGACAUCACUUAUGAACUUAUAUAGAACUUUGAUCCGAUCGAAGCUGGACUAUGGGAGUAUUGUUUAUGGAUCUGCCAGGAAAUCAUAUAUACAAGCAUUGGAUACUAUACAUCAUCAAGGCAUACGAUUAGCUUUGGGAGCAUAUAGAACAUCACCAAUUCAAAGUUUAUAUGGAGAAGCCAAUGAACCUUCCUUGGAAAACAGACGAUUAAAGUUGGCCUUACAAUAUGCAAUCAAAUUAAAAACAAAUAAAGGAAAUCCAGCAUAUCCGGCAGUUUUUACAGUCCAGUAUUCAAUAAUGUAUGAAAGAAAACCAAAUCAUAUUCGUCCAUUUGGUCUACGUAUAAAACCUCAUCUGGAAAAUCUCAAAGUAGAUUUAAACAUCUUGGAACAAACCCACUUUUGCAAAAUUCCCCCUUGGGAUAUCAAAAAAACCUUUAUUUUGUUGGAUUUAUCAAAGAAUCAAAAAUCGGAAACACAUCCAAAUGAUUAUCAGCUACAAUUUUUAGAAAUAAGAGAUAUGUAUCCUCAGUAUACUCUAAUAUACACAGAUGGAUCCAAAUCUGGAAACCAGGUAGCGGCAGCUAUUGCAACGAAUGAAGUACAUCAAGGUAUACGUAUUCCAGAUCAAAGUUCAAUCUUCACAGCAGAAGCAAAUGCUUUAUUGCUGGCAUUAAAAUUUAUUGAAACGUCUUCACAGAAGAAAUUCUUAAUAAUGACUGACUCAAAAUCAUGCCUGGAUUCACUGGAAAGUAUGAAAACUGAUCAUCCAACAGUAGUCAAGAUCUUCGUUAAAUUAUCAAUGCUCAAAUCAAAGGCUUUUAGCAUCUACUUUUGCUGGGUACCUGGACACUCAGGAAUUGCUGGAAAUGAGAAAGCAGACAGUGCAGCAAAAGAAGCACUAUCCACAGAAUUAGUAAAUAGUUUUAUACCUUUUACAGACUUAAAACAAACGAUAAAUGAAUACAUCAGAAAUAAAUGGCAAUCAGAAUGGGAUCAAUGUCUAAAUAAUAAGUUGCAUGAAAUAAAUCCUGAUGUGAAGAAAAAACUUAACCUCUGUUUUGAGAAUCGUUGGAAUCAAGUCAUCUAUACACGAUGCAGAAUAGGACAUUCAAAAAUUACACAUAAAUUUUUACUCUUAGGAGAAAAUCCUCCAAAAUGUUCAUUUUGUCAGAAUUCAUUGUCCAUUAAACAUAUCCUUCUAGAUUGUAUUACAUCUGCCCCUGUGAGAAACCUUUUUUAUUCCGUUGAUACUUUUGGAAAAAUUUUUAAUCAAGGGAAUCCGAGCAUGGUCCUAAGCUUUCUAGAGGAAAUAAAUGUUAAACAUCUUUUCUAGUCUUCCUUUGAUUGACUGCACUUUAUUCUUGCCAUGAAUAUAGCCUUAGAAGCUGGUAUGGCGUUUAAAAGAAAAGAAAGAAAGAAAGAAUGCAUUUAUUAAAUCACAGGAAUCAUAUGGAUUACUUUUAUGGCGCUUUUAUAUGAAACUACAAAUUUUGGAAACUAUUGACUUGCACAGUAUGGACCUACAGAGCCAAAAAUUUUACUAAAAAUCUUUGUUUGUGUCAAAGAAAUUCAUGGGCCGCACAUAUAGAAUGGCUUCAAGGGGAAGAAAACUAUGAGUUUUCAUUUGGGGUGAACUAUCCCUUUAAGAAACAUUUACAGCCAUAGAAAUAUAGCAAAGUGACAAUAAAGACAAGUGGGGGAAAUAAAUCCAGACUGUACAAACAAUAGGUGGAGUAAAUAACAGUGCAAUUAUUAAUGGCCUGCCAUACCAUAGACUUUGU